ACAACAAAUUCAGACCGUCGGUCUACCGAGCAAUAUCACUCGCUCAGUGGAAGAUUUUCUCUUUGUUGU
rnacentral:pre_miRNA from 1 species